CCAUGGCGAUGCGGUAGCAACGGCGAGUGAAGCGGCAACAGCUCAAAUUUGAAAGCUAGCCUUCGGGUUCGCAUUGUAAUUUGUAGAGGAUGCUUUGGGUAAAACGCCAGUCUAAGUUCCUUGGAACAGGACGUCAUAGAGGGUGAGAAUCCCGUAUGUGACUGGAAAUGUUAACCUAUGUAAAGCUCCUUCGACGAGUCGAGUUGUUUGGGAAUGCAGCUCUAAAUGGGAGGUAAAUUUCUUCUAAAGCUAAAUAUUGGCGAGAGACCGAUAGCGCACAAGUAGAGUGAUCGAAAGAUGAAAAGCACUUUGGAAAGAGAGUUAAAAAGCACGUGAAAUUGUUGAAAGGGAAGCGCUUGCAAUCAGACUUGUUUAAACUGUUCGGCCGGUCUUCUGACCGGUUUACUCAGUUUGGACAGGCCAGCAUCAGUUUCGGCGGCCGGAUAAAGGCAUUGGGAAUGUGGCCUUCACUUCGGUGGAGGUGUUAUAGCCCAGUGUGUAAUACGGCCAGCCGGGACUGAGGUCCGCGCUUCGGCUAGGAUGCUGGCGUAAUGGUUGUAAGCGACCCGCAAAA
rnacentral:rRNA from 1 species